GGGUUGUGAGGUUAAGCGACUAAGCGUACACGGUGGAUGCCCUGGCAGUCAGAGGCGAUGAAGGACGUGCUAAUCUGCGAUAAGCGUCGGUAAGGUGAUAUGAACCGUUAUAACCGGCGAUUUCCGAAUGGGGAAACCCAGUGUGUUUCGACACACUAUCAUUAACUGAAUCCAUAGGUUAAUGAGGCGAACCGGGGGAACUGAAACAUCUAAGUACCCCGAGGAAAAGAAAUCAACCGAGAUUCCCCCAGUAGCGGCGAGCGAACGGGGAGCAGCCCAGAGCCUGAAUCAGUGUGUGUGUUAGUGGAAGCGUCUGGAAAGGCGCGCGAUACAGGGUGACAGCCCCGUACACAAAAAUGCACAUGCUGUGAGCUCGAUGAGUAGGGCGGGACACGUGGUAUCCUGUCUGAAUAUGGGGGGACCAUCCUCCAAGGCUAAAUACUCCUGACUGACCGAUAGUGAACCAGUACCGUGAGGGAAAGGCGAAAAGAACCCCGGCGAGGGGAGUGAAAAAGAACCUGAAACCGUGUACGUACAAGCAGUGGGAGCACGCUUCGGCGUGUGACUGCGUACCUUUUGUAUAAUGGGUCAGCGACUUAUAUUCUGUAGCAAGGUUAACCGAAUAGGGGAGCCGAAGGGAAACCGAGUCUUAACUGGGCGUUAAGUUGCAGGGUAUAGACCCGAAACCCGGUGAUCUAGCCAUGGGCAGGUUGAAGGUUGGGUAACACUAACUGGAGGACCGAACCGACUAAUGUUGAAAAAUUAGCGGAUGACUUGUGGCUGGGGGUGAAAGGCCAAUCAAACCGGGAGAUAGCUGGUUCUCCCCGAAAGCUAUUUAGGUAGCGCCUCGUGAA
rnacentral:rRNA from 1 species